GGAAAUAUAGAAUAACAAAUGCAAGGAAAGGAGAGAAUAAAGAGAUUUAGGUGUUCACCAAAUAACAGAGAAGUGUUUAGAAGCGAGACAGGACAUUAACAAAGGUUCUGAGAGUAAAGAUUGGGCUGCUUGGGUCCUUAUGGCAGACAGAUCAGAAAGAGGAAGAGCUUUGAAUCACAGCUAACUGCGUCACAUCGUUUAUGUGAAAUUCCAGUGAAACCAGAGAAUGUCUAAUAUGAGACGGGCUCUGGCGAAACUAAAGUAAUGGCGCGUUCACACCAAAAGCGAAGGGGCGGCGCAACUUCCAUACAAAGUCAACGUAUAGACGCGUUCCAGGCGACGGGCGCGUUCGACUCCAUACAAAGUCAACGUAUAGUAAUGCUGUAGCCUACUUUAUAUCGUCUGUGGGGAAAUCCUGGGACUCUCAGAGUAUCAAACUACAACUGGAAAAAAAGAGAAGCUUAGGAAACACUUUUAUUUUGAAAACUUCUGAGUUAAGGGACAUAAAAGACAACAACCCCAAAAACACGCUGUCGGAAACACCUCGGAUCAAACCAGGGACAGGACAGACCCGGAAGAGGGAAGACAUGCAGUAAAGGACCACCUGUCUGAAUCAGGCAGCCUCCGGCUGUACGUGACCUCAUCAGCCCAGAGUGAAGGGACGUACAGGUGUACUCUCAGGUACGCAGACGAAGAAGACGUAACCCACAUUGAACCGAAGAUAUCUGAAGACCCUAUUGAAGAGGGAUCUUCUAGCACAGUUGGGAUCAUUUUAGUAGUCGUGGAUCCCGUUAUCAUUUUAUAUAUCAUAUAACCGAUAAAGGUAAAACCACUACUUUUCAUUCAUUAAUAACAUGUUUACUACACAUUUUUAUUUUAUAGAAUUUCUUGAGAAAGGUGGGGAGGUAACUUCUGGUUUAUUUAUGAGUGAUGUGGGACUGUGUAGUUUUACAAAUAGGAUUAUGAAGCUAUUAUUAAUAUAAUAUAACAUUUUUGUUACUCUUAGGCCAAAGAAGGACAAGGAAGGAGCUCAAACAACCAAAGUACUGAACCCUCUCAGGAAGUCGUUCCUCUGUCUGAGAUAACGGGUUCAACCUCCUGACCUUAUUACCGUACCAUCAGACACAGCAGGGUAAGACUGUGGUUGCAGGAGCCAGGAUCUUUACGUUGUA